GUUCCCCUGGCCCAACUGGUAGAGGCGGCGAGCUCAAACCUCGCUGGUUGCGGGUUCGAAUCCCGUGGGGAACA
rnacentral:tRNA from 1 species